ACCUGCAAGUGUGGUGGUUGUG
rnacentral:siRNA from 1 species